rnacentral:rRNA from 1 species
UACAGAGGUCUCAAGCGUUGUUCGGAUUCAUUGGGCGUAAAGGGUGUGUAGGUGGCGCCGUAAGUCGGGUGUGAAAUUCGGAGCUUAACUCCGAAACUGCAUUCGAUACUGCGGUGCUUGAGGACUGGAGAGGAGACUGGAAUUCGAUGGUGUAGCGGUGAAAUGCGCAGAUAUCAGGAGGAACACCGGUGGCGAAGGCGGGUCUCUGGGCCGAUACUGACGCUGGAGGAGCGAAAGCGUGGGGAGCAAACAGG